AGGACGAGUUAAUCUGUGUUCGUUUGGUAAUGCCUCUCUGCAUGUUUAGUAUGCAGCUGUUUUUGUCUGAAAUAAUUAAGUUUCGUUUUGAUCGAAAGUAAAGAGAGUCGCGUGCAUAAACCUCUCGUUCUGCGUCUUUAACACUAGAGCCACCCGCUUAUCGCAUCUCGCGCAAAAGCAGAACGUACACGGUACUGUGGAGCUGGCAGCACGUCGAAGCGGUGUAUUCAAUUCAAUUCAACUUUUCUGCCGAACGGUCAGACAAGAGGGAACAGAGUGGUCGGAGAGAGAUCGGAUAUGGCAGUUGGACGUCUGGGCGGUGUGUGUGGGCCUUAAAUGUCCGCUGCCGUGUGUAGAUUUGACUCUAAAACAGUGAGGAUGAACAUGAGCACCCAGGGCCCUCUACCUCUGGCUCCCAAGGUCUCUUCCUGCUCUGACUCAGAAGGCCCUCAGAGAGCAGCUUGCAACUGAAAUGUUGGCUCAUCCUCCACAUCUGCUCCAGGGUCAUCCUCCACGCCUGCUCCAGGGUCAUCCUGCAUGCCGUGUUAUUACAGAACUGACGCGAGUCAAAGUAGGAGGUACUGUAAGAGGUGCCAGAAAACUGGCAUAAAAGGGUGAAAACUCCCAUUUAUUGCAGGAAAUGCAAUGUCCCCCUGUGCCUCACUUAAAAAAAAAAAAAAAACUGUUUUGAGCAGUGGCGUGACACAUCCGGCUGCCUCUACCAGUGGCUGUGUAAGCCAAGGAUUUGUGUCUGAUUGUAAAUAGCUGUUUGCAGAAUUUUUUGUUUUUGCACUUUGUUGUUGUUGCUGAUUUCCAUCAUUAUUAUUGCAUUACUAUUUUUUAUUACUAUUUUCCUACUAUUAUUAUAUCAUUAGUUAUUGUUGUAUUAUAGUGAAUAAAUAAAUCUGCUCAUGUUGGAGACAAAUGUA